rnacentral:misc_RNA from 1 species
UUUCCGUAGGUGAACCUCCGGAAGGAUCAUUGUUGUAUAACCGAGGUGCGAGGGCUGUCGCUGACCCGAAAGGUCGUGCACGCCCGAGUGCCCUCACACACAUCCAUCUCACCCCUAUGUGCACCACCGCGUGGGUCCCCCUUUGGCUUGUUCGGAGGGGGGCUUACGUUUUCACACAAACUUUGUAUGCAGUGUAGAAUGUAUUUUUUGUUUUUGCGAUCACGCAAUCAAUACAACUUUCAACAACGGAUCUCUUGGCUCUC